AGUGAACGCUGGCGGUAGGCCUAACACAUGCAAGUCGAACGGCAGCACAGUAAGAGCUUGCUCUUACGGGUGGCGAGUGGCGGACGGGUGAGGAAUACAUCGGAAUCUACUUUUUCGUGGGGGUUAACGUAGGGAAACUUACGCUAAUACCGCAUACGACCUACGGGUGAAAGCAGGGGAUCUUCGGACCUUGCGCGAUUGAAUGAGCCGAUGUCGGAUUAGCUAGUUGGCGGGGUAAAGGCCCACCAAGGCGACGAUCCGUAGCUGGUCUGAGAGGAUGGUCGGCCACACUGGAACGGAGACACGGUCCAGACUCCUACGGGAGGCAGCAGUGGGGAAUAUUGGACAAUGGGCGCAAGCAUGAUCCAGCCAGACCGCGUGGGUGAAGAAGGCCUUCGGGUUGUAAAGCCCUUUUGUUGGGAAAGAAAAGCAGCAGGUUAAUACCACGCUGUUCUGACGGUACCCAAAGAAUAAGCACCGGCUAACUUCGUG
rnacentral:rRNA from 1 species